CUUCCUCUGCCUCCGGUGGCUGCUGCCUGGUCAUCGCGGUGGUUCAGCGUGGCUGUUGCAGGUGUACGAUCCUCCUCAUUCAGGUGAUGCUCUCUGUUGGUCCUCCGUUGUGCGUCUGUGCAGAAAUGGGCAUUUUGGUGACGUGAUCUCCGCUCUUUGUGGUGCAAGCGGCUGCUGGGGCUGUGGGAGACGAAGCGCUCUGCCAGAUUCCCUCCCUGGAUGCGCUCACCUGUUCCUUCCAGUAAGUUCACAGUUGUGUGUCCAGCAGCUCUGUCGCUCAGUUCCCAGCUUAAUAUUCUUUGUGUUCUGGUGUGGCUGAGUGAUUGACCCGCAGCACGAGCCGUUAUCCCUCCAUCGCUCUGGGGCAUCACUGUAGCUUCGCAUCGUGGUGCUGUGGUCCCUGGUGGUGCCCCCCCUCCCUUCACGAGUGUCCAUUGUGUGUGUGAAUGCUGUUCCACAGGCGUUUUAAUUUACAGUUUGGAAGUUUGGAUGUCCCUGCUCAGGCAGCUGCCCCUGCGACUCGGCCCCAGAUAAGCAGAAGAAGAUGGAUGGAUGGAUGGACUAAAUAGUGUGGUAGUAUGGUUCAAUGGCCUGCAUCAUUGAAGAGUCAAUGCCUUCCCUCAGCCUGGUGGUACUAACUUCUGACUACCCCAGUAUAUCAGACACUGUUUCUGCAACAGCUGCCUAGCAGGUGGUCCACCCCUUAAAAAGAAAUCUAGUAACCAAUAUGUACACAAUAAUUAUACCACUUACUUACACCUGCUGGCAAAGUUCAUUUAAAUGCCUAUCACUCACCUGUGCGUGAAGAUACACGUUUAUCUCCUCUUUUGCUUUUGACUGCAACACAUACCACCGCUUCUCAAAUCCUCACUUGUCCGCACAACCAGUGGAAAGGAGGCAUUUAUCGGUUGUGCUAUGUUUCCCAUGCUUGCUUCUUGGCUUGUACUGUGACACUGUGGCAAAAUUUACCUCUCAAAACACUUUAUGCUCAUUGACCAAUUGAGCCAGAAGCAAACACUGUUCCUCUGUCCAGUUGGGUUUCCUUGUUCUUUUCUUCUCCAUUGCUGUUCACUGGUUUGUGGUAGAUUUGAAAGCCAGCCAACGCUGCUUCUUAUAGGCCGGUCAGCAAUCACAGAGAUUGAUGAAAGCUGAGCCAUUUUACCCUUGAUAAUGUUGAAAUGUUGAAAGUGCAAAAAUGACCAGCAUGGCAAUUAAUAUAA